UGGGGAAUAUUGGGCAAUGGGCGAAAGCCUGACCCAGCCACGCCGCGUGAGUGAUGAAGGCCUUCGGGUCGUAAAGCUCUGUGGGGAGGGACGAACAAACUGGGCGCUAAUCACCCCGGUCCUGACGGUACCUCCUUAGCAAGCACCGGCUAACCCUGUGCCAGCAGCCGCGGUAAUACAGGGGGUGCAAACGUUGCUCGGAAUUAUUGGGCGUAAAGCGCGCGUAGGCGGCUACUUAAGUCGGAUGUGAAAGCCCCUGGCUCAACUGGGGAAGUGCACCCGAAACUGAGUAGCUUGAGUGCGAAAGAGGGCUGCGGAAUUCCCGGUGUAGAGGUGAAAUUCGUAGAUAUCGGGAGGAACACCGGUGGCGAAGGCGGCAGCCUGGGUCGACACUGACGCUGAGGCGCGAAAGCGUGGGGAGCAAACAGG
rnacentral:rRNA from 1 species